rnacentral:rRNA from 1 species
CGGCAGCACGGGUGCUUGCACCUGGUGGCGAGUGGCGAACGGGUGAGUAAUACAUCGGAACAUGUCCUGUAGUGGGGGAUAGCCCGGCGAAAGCCGGAUUAAUACCGCAUACGAUCUACGGAUGAAAGCGGGGGACCUUCGGGCCUCGCGCUAUAGGGUUGGCCGAUGGCUGAUUAGCUAGUUGGUGGGGUAAAGGCCUACCAAGGCGACGAUCAGUAGCUGGUCUGAGAGGACGACCAGCCACACUGGGACUGAGACACGGCCCAGACUCCUACGGGAGGCAGCAGUGGGGAAUUUUGGACAAUGGGCGAAAGCCUGAUCCAGCAAUGCCGCGUGUGUGAAGAAGGCCUUCGGGUUGUAAAGCACUUUUGUCCGGAAAGAAAUCCUUGGUUCUAAUAUAACCGGGGGAUGACGGUACCGGAAGAAUAAGCACCGGCUAACUACGUGCCAGCAGCCGCGGUAAUACGUAGGGUGCGAGCGUUAAUCGGAAUUACUGGGCGUAAAGCGUGCGCAGGCGGUUUGUUAAGA